rnacentral:rRNA from 1 species
GCGGCAGGCCUAACACAUGCAAGUCGAGCGAACCCUUCGGGGUUAGCGGCGGACGGGUUAGUAACGCGUGGGAAUAUACCCUUUGGUACGGAAUAGCCUCGGGAAACUGAGAGUAAUACCGUAUGUGCCCUUCGGGGAAAGAUUUAUCGCCAAAGGAUUAGCCCGCGUUGGAUUAGAUAGUUGGUGGGGUAAUGGCCUACCAAGUCUACGAUCCAUAGCUGGUUUGAGAGGAUGAUCAGCAACACUGGGACUGAGACACGGCCCAGACUCCUACGGGAGGCAGCAGUGGGGAAUCUUAGACAAUGGGCGCAAGCCUGAUCUAGCCAUGCCGCGUGGACGAUGAAGGCCUUAGGGUUGUAAAGUCCUUUCAGAUGGGAAGAUAAUGACGGUACCAUCAGAAGAAGCCCCGGCUAACUCCGUG